rfam:Solemya velum gill symbiont strain WH SV_sym_Scaffold_2, whole genome shotgun sequence.
CGGGGUGUAGCUCAGCUUGGUAGAGUACUCCGUUCGGGACGGAGCGGUCGGAGGUUCAAAUCCUCUCACCCCGA